GUCACCGUUUACGGCAGCUGUGUUUCCAGAAGCCAUGACAGUCCCUUGGAUACAGGAGAUCUUCAAUCACUGCAUGUCCAGCCGAAUUCAACCAGCCACGUGUUCUUUAUGGCCUUAAAACAGAGAACCCAGGAGAGCCCUGACUCCAGGGAAAGCAAGGAAAAGCAAGCGCAGACCCUCUCUCCACCUUGCCCAUAGUUCCUGCUACAGUUCUCUGCUUGGAGUGGAGAAGAAAACAAAGGCCCAGACUGGCAAAGUGACAUGUGCAAGAUCACAGCACCGGUUGAGGGGAGCAAGAUUCUAAUCCUGAUCUGCUGGGCUCUGAGGGGAGGGCUCAGCCUAGAGGCAGUCCAAGCUGAGAAUGGUGGGAGAAUUCCAGCCUUGGGCCAGCUGCCCACGCAUCCAGGGAGGCGGUAGGCGGGGCGGAAACAGCCACCAGAAGCCAGGGGCACGCGGCAAACAAGGGUGCCAGGAAAUGACCUGGACCUGGGGUCCUUCCUCCCGGCCCGCCCUGUGCCCCUGGCCAACGGCUGCCUCCCAUUCCUGGUGCUCUCUGUAAGAGAACAGAGAAAGCUGGGCCAGAGGCCAGGGAUGGCCAGGAGGGUCUUGAAGCCCCGGAGGGGAGCCCUACCAGACCUUAGCCACCAUCACACCCCCACCCCCUGCUGCCACCGGGUCCCAGGAGGAGACACAGAGCAGGAUCCUCGAGGUCUUGUGUUGUCUGCCUCAGCGGGAGCUCAGACUGGGGCGGGGCGCAAAUAAGGCACUCGGAAAGAUGUGUGUUGAAAGGAAGGACGGCAAGUGUGGCGUCAAAACCAUCAGGAUGGAGGUGAAGAGACUUGGUCCUGACCCAGUUCCUGCCCCCACCCCCCCACCCCUGCCUCGUGGCCCUGGACGAGUCUCAGAACCUCCCUAUCCAUCAGAUCAAGUCGUUAUCCUGGAAUGCCCAUCACAGCUUGGGUCCCUUCCAACUCUGACAAUGCAGGUCUAUUAAUUCUUCGACUCGCGCACGAACUUGUUAUUUCAGCGAAAUACAUAGUACAGUUCAGUAAGUAUAUUUGGGAACUAAUGAAGUGGUGAGCAGAGCGGCGGUAAUAAGCAAAGGCUGUUGGGGGGGCGGUGAUUUGUUAAAAGCAAGGUGGCCUGGGUUCAAAUUCUCCCUCCGUCACCUGCUGACUGAGUAACCUCGGGCAAGUCCCUUACUCCUGUUGAACUUCAACUUCCUUAUCUGUAAGAGGGAGAUAAUAGGAGUAUAUACUCCAUGGGGUUAUUGUAAAAAUUAAAUGAGAUAAUGUGAAUAAAGAAAAAUGGUACAUAGCAGGUGCCCAGCAAAUGUUAGCUAUAUUAUUCCUUAGAGAUGCAUGAAUUUCAGCAGGCAAAGAUGGUGGCGUGUGUAUGGGCAGGGCUUAUGGUGGGGUGGGGGGGGACGCAUGGGAACAGUGUG